AAGCCACAACACCAGGUUUAGGGUUCCCCAUUGUCUGGGCGAGGUCGUCUGAAACACUAGAUCUACCAGAUGCCCUACUUGAUUCGACCAAAAAAUACACAAAAUUUUGCCGUUAUUCUUCGGAGCCUUGUUCGAUCUCAACAAGCUAACAGUAUUUCCUUUCCCUGUUCAUAUAGGCACCUAGUAGGAUGUUAGAUCGAGCGGAGAAAAAGUUCUUGCGCGGCCCGACAACAAAUUAGUACGGUGAUUUUCAUUAUACAUUUUCAUAGCAAAAUCUUGAUAUUUCGCGUGAGUUUGGGCAGUUAGCUUGCAGAUUCGAUGGCCAUUUUGUUCAGAUUAGUCCCAGAUUAAGCGAUAGGUAUAGUAGGAAUAGCCAGAAAGAUAUGUUCUUUUUUACUUACGCUUGUCUCCGCACUAAGAAGUUUAUUACCCUUGCAGUUUGCUUUCUCUAAUCUCUGCUAAUUUGGGUUGGUGGUUCCUUCAUACGGCCUCCUUCUUAGGCCUUAGGUCUAUUUGUACGCCAGUUCUUCAUUUUAAGGACUGCUUCCAUGAACUUUAUUUCCCUUGUAUAAGAUCCCUAUAAUUGUCCUCGCGUGGCUGUGAUGACAACAAAGAUUCUUCGUCAUACCUUAAUUUCAGUUAAGGACCAAAAAUGAUGACUUUAUUUGUGCGUGUCUGAGCUGACGCUCUUUUUAUAGGUGCAGCCUUGUCUAAAUGUUUUGUUUCCCUUAUCUUUGUGCCGUUUGUUUUUGCAAUUUUUGUUCAUGUUUUUAGGUGAGCACAACUAGCUUAGUAUUUUUCGUGUUCUCAAAUAUCUUUUUUUUUUUUUGUAAUUUUGGUUCAUUUUUUUUAGGUGACAACUGUGUAGAUGAACUAGCUCACUAUUUUUUUGUUCUCCAAUAUAUAUUGCGGUCUAUAACAAUUGUGCAUGGGAGUUCAACAAAUUUGUCAAGCCAUUGCUACUUCAUUCAAUGGCUAUUGACUUCAGUUGCUCCUAUAUUAAUGCAAGGCAAAGAUAGCCUUGGUUCAUCGAAAAAUGGUUGGACUUUGGGUUAGGCCUGCCUUCAGCAUUCUACAAAUUUGAUCCUUUUGUGCUCCUAAUCUGUUUGGUUUUUUUUUCAGCAUCUUUAUGCAUGGCUGUGAUGAUGAAAACUUCGUUUCUCGAUGCUGAGACUUGAUCUAUUCAAGGAUAAACUUUUGAUGAGAAUUGCGUUCCUGAGCCAAUGAACGUGCUUCAUAAACAUCAGGCAAGAGACUGGCUUUAUGAUCCAUCAAUCCUCCUUCCUAGCUGCUGGUUGCUUGGCUUCUAUACUGUAUUGGAUGCACCAUCUACUGGAGGACUGAACUUACCUGGUUUAUUCUGCUGCUUCACUAUCGCUUCCUCUCAUCAGUUCAUAAGUAGCUUUUGCUUUCUUGGAGCUACGCGGUGAGCUUGGGGAUGCUAAUGUGCCAGCAGCAGGUGUCUCUUUUGCAGUCUUUCUAGUUUGGUUUUCCACAGGCUUUCUUGAACGAUGGCAGUUUCUAUUGAUGUGCGGCUCACAAUACUUGUGCUCGGCCAUCACUUCCUUUGAGCACUGCCAUUUCUUGUCAUCGGUUUGGCCGCAUCUUCCAGGUUCUGGGUUCGAACCUGUGUUAGUGAACCCUUCAUAGACAGGCCUCCAUGUCACUUUAUUACUCGGAAGUAUGUUUUGUAAAUGCUGCUUGCAUUUGUACUCUAGAGUAGUCUGUAUUGUGACUGCUCGAUACAUAUAGACUGUUCGGUUACAAAAUGUAAACAUAUAGUUGUGACAGCUUGUAUGAGGCACUUAAUGUUAUGACUACUUGUGUGGUCUAGUUCACAAAUCUUAUUUUGGAAAUCUGUUGAAAUGAUAUGUGCAAC